AGUGAACGCUGGCGGUAGGCCUAACACAUGCAAGUCGAACGGCAGCACAGGAGAGCUUGCUCUCUGGGUGGCGAGUGGCGGACGGGUGAGGAAUACAUCGGAAUCUACUCUGUCGUGGGGGAUAACGUAGGGAAACUUACGCUAAUACCGCAUACGACCUACGGGUGAAAGCAGGGGAUCUUCGGACCUUGCGCGAUUGAGUGAGCCGAUGUCGGAUUAGCUAGUUGGCGGGGUAAAGGCCCACCAAGGCGACGAUCCGUAGCUGGUCUGAGAGGAUGAUCAGCCACACUGGAACUGGGAAACGGUCCAGACUCCUACGGGAGGCAGCAGUGGGGAAUAUUGGACAAUGGGCGCAAGCCUGAUUCAGCCAUACCGCGUGGGUGAAGAAGGCCUUCGGGUUGUAAAGCCCUUUUGUUGGGAAAGAAAUCCAGCUGGCUAAUACCCGGUUGGGAUGACGGUACCCAAAGAAUAAGCACCGGCUAACUUCGUGCCAGCCGCCGCCGUAA
rnacentral:rRNA from 1 species